GACGAACGCUGGCGGCGUGCCUAAUACAUGCAAGUAGAACGCUGAAGGAGGAGCUUGCUCUUCUGGAUGAGUUGCGAACGGGUGAGUAACGCGUAGGUAACCUGCCUGGUAGCGGGGGAUAACUAUUGGAAACGAUAGCUAAUACCGCAUAAGAGUAGAUGUUGCAUGACAUUUACUUAAAAGGUGCAAUUGCAUCACUACCAGAUGGACCUGCGUUGUAUUAGCUAGUUGGUGGGGUAACGGCUUACCAAGGCGACGAUACAUAGCCGACCUGAGAGGGUGAUCGGCCACACUGGGACUGAGACACGGCCCAGACUCCUACGGGAGGCAGCAGUAGGGAAUCUUCGGCAAUGGACGGAAGUCUGACCGAGCAACGCCGCGUGAGUGAAGAAGGUUUUCGGAUCGUAAAGCUCUGUUGUAAGAGAAGAACGAGUGUGAGAGUGGAAAGUUCACACUGUGACGGUAUCUUACCAGAAAGAGACGGCUAACUACGUG
rnacentral:rRNA from 1 species